CGGAGGAAGGUGGGGAUGACGUCAAGUCAUCAUGCCCCUUAUGUCCAGGGCUUCACGCAUGCUACAAUGGCCGGUACAAAGGGCUGCGAUCCCGUAAGGGGGAGCGAAUCCCAAAAAGCCGGUCUCAGUUCGGAUUGGGGUCUGCAACUCGACCCCAUGAAGUCGGA
rnacentral:rRNA from 1 species